rnacentral:rRNA from 1 species
UACGUAGGGGGCUAGCGUUGUCCGGAUUUAUUGGGCGUAAAGAGCGUGUAGGCGGCCAGGUAGGUCUGCUGUGAAAACUCGAGGCUUAACCUCGAGAUGUCGGCGGAAACCAUCUGGCUAGAGUCCGGAAGAGGAGAGUGGAAUUCCUGGUGUAGCGGUGAAAUGCGCAGAUAUCAGGAGGAACACCAAUAGCGAAGGCAGCUCGCUGGGACGUUACUGACACUGAGGCGCGAAAGCGUGGGGAGCGAACAGG